ensembl:lncRNA
UGCAUAUACAGACUGAAAGUGGGAGAUCCUAGUCCACCAUCAGCAUGACUAGUUAUGCAUUUUAAAACAUGUAAUUCUACUCGUAAUCCUAUCCAAUUCGUUAGCUAGCUCGGUAUCUGUCAGGCAAUUGGAGCUGGCUGAAUUUCUGGAAAGUCUUCCGACGCCGACAGUAGCUUCUUUGCCGCUUUGGAUGCAGAGGGCAGAUGGCGUCUCCUCUGAUGGCUUGUGUACACUAGCACGUGGUUAUAUCAGCUGUGUCGAUGAACCCCUCCCGCAUCUGAACUGGCUACAUAGGGGGGACAGCAUUAUCAGAGGUAUGUUUUGAUGUGAGAGAGGAUGCCUACCCCAGUCCCGUCAUUGCCAUGCUCUUAAAAUAACCUUCGGGCCGACUGGGAGCCCAAGGCUGAUUAGGAGACACCACAAGACACUUAUAAUAUUAGGGUGGCACUGUGAUUCAAUAACCAUAUGCCAUCUUCCCUGCUCCUGUUCUUACCCUUUGUCUUUUACACCUCUCUUGCCACCUCCUCUUUCUUCCUCUGUGUCACUGUGCUCCCUCUCCGGCCUCUAGGUCACCAGUCUGCUCGUUAUGGCACACACCUGUCACCAUCGUUGCGCGCACCUGCACGUCAUCAGACUCACCUGGACUCCAUCACCUCCCUGAUUAUCUUCCCUAUAUAUAUAUAUAUGUCACUCCCUUUGGUUCCUUCCCCAGGCCUUAUUGUUUCUGUUCCAGUGUCAUGUCUGUGCGUGGUUUGUGUUUUAUGUAUUAAAACACUCACUCCC